GUGAAUCAUCGAAUCUUUGAACGCACAUUGCACCCUCUGGUAUUCCAGGGGGUAUGCCUGUUCGAGCGUCAUUUACAACCCUCAAGCACUGCUUGGUAUUGGGCGCAACCUCUGGGUAUGCCCUAAAAGCAUUGGCAGCAGCAGGGCACUUCUAGCGUAGUAAACUUGUCUCGCUCUGGAGUUGCCUGGUGCCUGGCUUCCAAUAACCUCAACAUUUUACUAGGUUGACCUCGGAUCAGGUAGGGAUACCCGCUGAACUUAAGCAUAUCAAUAAGCGGAGGA
rnacentral:misc_RNA from 1 species